ACUGAUUCCUCUCUGUCUGAAUUUUGUCUGAAAAAUAAUCAACUUGAGGAAGUUUAUAGGCAGAUGUUGGCCAUACGGCAGCAGAGGUUGAACCUUCCCACCAAUAUUCUGUUACAUGUUGUUGCUGUGUGACAGAUGGCAACAGAGGGGCAGUCUGACACAAUGGCAUGUGGCAUGGAAGUACAUAUGAAGCAAAGGUGUGUCAUUGAAUUCCUCCAUGCAGAAAAUACAGGUGAAAAUGCUCCUGUUUAUUGUUUCUUUUCUCACUCAUAUUGUUUAUAGGGCACUCCUGGUAAUAACAAUUCAUCUGGUAAUCUGAUUCAUCUAUGAGCAACUUGUCUUUUGGUAACAGGUGAUAUUGCAAAGCUGUGAUACAGUUCUCUGUUCUCAUUCUAUUCACUGAAAGUAGCAAAAAACAAUAGCUGAUGAAAAGCUGUGUUUAGAACCACAUACAUUGGAAUGCAACUUCAGAUUAUGGACAAGAUUUAAACUCCAAUUUUCAACAUCAGGAUGGAAGUGAAGAAGAUAGAUGAUUUUUCCUGCGGAUUUUGGAAAUGAAGCAGAUUUCCUAAAGUCCAGGUCUUGUGUGAGAAGAGUGCUGUGUGGAAAAAAAGAUGCGUGAGCCAGACAGUGAGAAACUCAGGCCUGGAUGCCUGCCUUUGUCUUCUACUUGCUUGAAAUAUUUACAUCAGGCAGAUUAGAAUCAAACAACAGAAAUUAGUGCCCCGCCAGGGUUUCCCCCUGCAUCAGACAAGUUAGUACAUGCAUAGCAACGACACCCUCAUGGGCACCGUCUACCUACAGGUAAAAGAAUUUGAAUUGCUGAUACACACAUGGAAAUCCUAUCUGACAGUGACUGUAGAGUGCAUCUCAAACUAACGGAUUUUUUUUCCUUUUCUGAUACGCAUGGAAAAUAACAGGGCCAUAAUGAGUACGUACCUCGAAGGCUUCUUUAUGUCUUGGAAAAAACAUUACAGACUGAAUCUUUUAGUAACUUGCUACCUUGGAUUGGUCAUCCAGAAAACAAAGGAGCCAUGACCACAUGUAGGCACUGGUGCCAGCUAAACUGUGUAUUUUCUUCACAAAUGCUGGAAUAACAAGGAGAAUGAUGUAAUACAAUCUGUACAAUUAUUUGCAAAUGCAUGAGUCUCAUUUGACUUACUCGGUAUUUAAAAAAAAGUAAACUGGCAUAGAAUUUCUACUACUAUCACACAACAGCUUGCAGCUAAAAAGCCAUUGUGCAUAAGUGCAAAUUGUGAAUUAGCAUAUCUUAAAAAAAAAAAAGAAAGAAGCAAAAAGCUUACACUCAGCAAACGUUUUAUGUGGAGGCAUUAUCUGAUGGACAGUGCGGUCAGUGCAGAACUCAGACCUAGUGGAAUGUGCCUAAAUUUGCUCUGAACCAAUAAGAAGGGGAAGAAAUGAGAAAUACUGUUGACAGUUACAGUCAAGUUGGCAAUAGUCACAUAAUUUUGUCUUACAUAGGUAGGAACACACAGACGUGUGUGUAUUCACACCAGGCAAUUGGAUCGCAGGUGAUGUGCCGAGCAUGAAACUGAACGUGACAUUGAGUUCAUCCAGGUGUAGCAGCAGUGUUUAUUUCAUGACAAGGAGAAAUCAUGUUGGAAAUGCACUGUACAGAAAUUAUAGUAAUAGCAGUUUAAAGGCAGUGGAGGAGUGGAUUCAUAUUAAAAAAUUACAUUUAAAAAAACAGUGAUAGUAUGAAUAAAGUAGAUUAGUCACUACCGAAAUUGUUUUAGGAAAGGAUGCUAAAAGAGGCCCUCCUGGGAUAGACUGGGAAGUUGAAUUUGGAAAUGAACAAAUAAUUCUUUAAUGUUAUUAAAGAGAGAAAUACUCCUGAGAUUUGUGUCAUAGGAAAUUUUAAUUUCUCAGUCACUGAGACUAAAAAUCAAAAAUAGACCAUGUCAUUGGUAUGAAAAUUUAAAGGUAUAUGUAACUGAGCAGUCAGUGAACCACCUGAGAGUGCUACUAUUUAGAAGUUUGUUUCUGUGACUAACACCAACAAUAUAGAUGAAGUGGUUGUGGGAAAAAUCCAAAGUGAUCACAUGAGGUUGAUUUACUUGAUGUGAGUUGGAAUGCAGGUCUGUGACUCUUACUGUUUAAACAAGAAGACUGUAUAUGAUGAGGGAACUAAAUGGUGAAGUCACUAGGAGUAAGAAUGUCAGUAAGAAUGUUCGUUUCAACUGAAGCCUGGAAUUUUUUUUGUAUUAAAGGUGUAGACCUGCUGGAGACUUCUGUUCUGAAGCAGAAGAAGUGAUAUCCCCAGCCAGCUCUGGAAAUAAGAGCAAAUUCUCUUGAAGUAGAUGCUAGGAAUGCACAGGGACUCCAAGGAUAAAGAAAAGUAUUAACCUGACAAAGAGAUUUUUCUUAGACAUCAAGAAGCUCAGGGAUAAAAUGGAAAUUGUCAGCAGGCUGCUCUUACAAAAUGCCUUCAAAUGCUGAGCAGAAAGCUCUCCUGGGGUGUGCAAGUAAAGCUGUACAUGGACUGUCCCAGCAGCAGUGGGAACAGACUGCAACUCCGAAUCCCUCAUCACAUUCCCAUAGUUUGGGAGACUUGGGGGACACUGUGGUGCUUGUAUUCUGGAUCACACAUCAUUACUGGCCAGUAAGUCACAAAAGUGUAUGUGGAAGGUAAGAACCAUUCUAGAUAAGUGUUUGGAUAUUUUUCUUUAACAAUAGGAACAUUUUGGUACAAAUUUGCUUUGAGCACCUGGUGAGGUUGGCCAGGCUGGGCCUGCUCUUCAGCUCAAGCAUCCAUAUAUCCAUAUAUCAGCUCAAGCAUCAGGGCAGGAAGGAUCAGCCAGAGCAGUGAAAAGCUUAGGAAAGUGACACCAACAAAGUCCUGCAAUGGCAAGUGUUAGGAUCAGCUUCAUUACUACCCUGUGUAAUUAUUUCACAUCAGAGUAUUCAGCAGGUGUUCAAACCUCUGUUUUGAGGUAAAGGGAACAAACAAGAAGAUCCUCAAUGAUUUUCUGUCUCCUCCUUAGUAAUGAGGAUAAACAUACAUACUAAAGGAUCCCAGUGGACUCAGGAGGAUGUGCCCCUCCUUAAAUCCUGUGGCUGCUUUAUCUGGAUCAAACAACACUGGCUCCAAAGGUGUGACAGCAGUUGGCCAGCAUGCAGUUGCUCUUGCUUGACCCACAUCUGGAAAAUCAACCCCAUUCCUCAGAAUAUCAAGGGAUAGCUUGGGGAGCUUUCUCAGCCUAACUUUGAAUGGACAGAGUAGAGAUUUGAUUCUGAGCUUCCAGUUACUCUCAUCAUUUUUCCUACUGGCUUCAUACAAAGUUCCCUUCUCUCAGUCAUUUUUCACUUUCCAGUGUCUCUGACAACACAAGCUGAUUAUAGAGUUGCUGAUUCUCACUGAUUAUUCAUAAUGCAUUUGAUACUUUUGUUUUGUGUUCUCUUUUUCCUUAAAAUCCCAGCUGAGUCCUAGUUUCUGUAUUUGGUUUCCUUUGUAACUAUAGAAGAAAUGUGAUGUCUCUGGUCUUAAAGAAAUACUUGAAAACUCAGUGGACGUGGAUGGCACAGUAAUCAGUGGUAAAUUCAAAUAAAUUGUAUACUGUUUUCUGAAGCCUUAGCCACAGUUUUGAACAAUAUGAUUUUAAAUGAUGAUCCUAGCUAAAAUAAUAAAUAUUUACAUAUGCUUUCAGAAAAUCUCUACUCUAGACCCCACCUUUGUGUCAAAGGAGCAUCCCUGCUUGUUUUCUGACUUCAGUAUUUUACACAUUUUUUUGAAAUGUUGUAGUGAAGCCUAAAAAAGUAAUAUGAUGAUGUCGAAGUAAAUGAGGAUUUUUGCUUUUAAUCCUUUGCUGCUGAUUUGUGGUCUCAGGCAAGAAAUUUGUUUCUCUUUCUGCUUUGAUUCUCUGUCUUUGUGGAUGAUAGAACUUUUCUUUUCCUGGAAAUGCAUUAUUUUAAUCACUGUAAGAGAUAACAAAGAGGCAAAACACUAGGCUAGGGGCAUUGUGGUAAGCUUGAUAUCUCGAAAGAAAUAGAAAAAAAGAAACACCUCUGAAGCUCUGGAUGUUUGAGGCUGGAUCACUGUAAAUAAUUCUACCAAGUUACGGCAUCCUCUGUGAGCCCAUGAGGUAAGGAUACCAAUAACAUUUGCACCUCAGUUGGUUAAUGAUCUGAGCCUUGCUGCUGCCUCAAGCUUUGUUUUUACUAAUAUAAGGAUAUUUUCAGCCCUAAUAUUGAGAAAGGCUUCAGAAAACCUACACAUCUGUGAAAUGACAAAGUGUGAUGAGUUUGCUUUACUCUAUCCAAAUAGGAAAUAUAGUACUUGCUUCUACGCUGCUUGAGUUUUGUGGCUAGAUUACUAUGUCCCGGGCCUUGUGAUACAUUUAUCUAACUUAGAAAACAAGAUGAGAAGAUCAGCAAGGAAAUUGCACGGUGCAUUGAUGCUUCACAGCUAUAAGUCCUAUGCACAAUAGGCACUGACUAAUACUGUUGGGUCUGUCUGAAUUUCAGUCAGGAGCAGCCUGAAAGGAAGGUAUUCCCCAGCUACCUCAGGAAAAAAUAGCCACCAGACAGAGAAAACUGCUGACUGACAGUGUUGUCAUUCAGAUAAAUGUCUGGCGUAUCACUGGCUUAUCACUAGAUUCUUCUUGUUUUGUUCUCAUUUUCUUGGGGAGUACUCAUUAAUCUUCUAGGGUCAGGCUAACAUCUUUAUUCUUGUACUUCACUGGUUUAUGUUUGGGGAAAAAAAAAUCCAGGUUAUUAGCUUUGUUCUUUUGGCACCUUUGCAAAAGCACAAAUGAAAAUAUAGGCAGUGACUGCAAAUAGGAGCUAGGUUUCAGUCUCAGACACUGUCUUGUGGUUAGUAAAACCUCUCUGAGCAAAGCAGUGGUUCACCUGUGAAUAUGCAGCUGUUAAAAAGCAUAAGGGGACAAAAAUACCACGGUAAGGAGAAUCCACCAUAAAUGAGUGGUAUAUCUGUGGAAGGAGGAAACAGAAAAAUCCUCCUAAAUGCCUGGAAAGGCUAGGAGAGCCAUUGUAAGUGCUCCUUUGUGCAAGUACCAGCAUGUUUAUGCAUCAUCAGAAGCGGUCAGGCUGCAAGAGGUAAGAGCAGUUUGCCAGGAACCCACAUGUCUGGAUAGCUGGAGUUUCUGAAAGGAAAGAAAGUUUUUAAAGCUGCCAUCAAACAUAGAGGCGUGGCCUGCUGUUGUCCACAUCAGAGGUUAUGGCUGAGGACAGUGAAAUUUUGUUGUCUCAGGAUGAUUCUAGGAAAGUUAUCUAUCACAGCUGUGUUAUCCUGUGUUCACCUGCUAGCUGGAUUCUACUUGGCAAUUGCCUUUGAACAGUUUGAUUUCCAGGUUUUAUUAAACGCAGGGUACCUGCAGAGGAAUGAGACGCCAGUGGUUAAUCACAGCAAAAUCCAUGUCUUCCUGCCACAGAGAUGUCAAAGAAAGACAGAGAGAAUGAGGCGAAUUGCUAUAAUUCUGUUGCAUCAUGGAAAAUAAAAACAUAAAAGCCAGGCACCACACCUUCCAAUUGAUUCCAGGUGGUUCUCUUCGCCCUGCCCUCACACAGUGACGCCUCAGUCUCCUGAAGAGCUGGUGCAGAUAGCUCUGCCUUAACAUCAUCUUUCCUUCCAUUUCAGCUGUCAGGCUAUUUAUUAAAAGAGUGAGUGGAGGAUACAGGGUCCGUGUAGCAGUCUCCUUCCAAAUCCUGACAAGUAUGCUUAAGGACCGUUUGAAGUCUGCUCUGUCUGCCUAGGAUGUGACAAGGAAGACAACAUUCAGAUUCUGCGGCUAACAUCUGCAGCCUUUUUUAGUUAUUCUGAACCCAUCUCUUGAAGAACCUCUUUCUACCCACCACCUGAAGAGUUCUUAGAGGUAAUCUAACUCAAUAGGCUAAAGUCAACUUUUGGCAAUAUCUCCGUGGACUUUACAAAGGGAAUUCCAUAACCUUCUGUUCAACUUCAGAGUGAAGAUGUGAUGCAAUGCAAGGACAGCUGGAUUAAUGCUGUGUGAGUGCAAACUUUUCAUUACAGAACUUCCAAACUGUUUCGGAGGGAAGAUUGGAAGGCAUAGUUGUCAGAUCCAUGCAGUUUCUGGAGAUUCCAGAGUUGGAUCAGAACAUUGAGUCUUUUUCAUUUAUGGGUGUGCUCAAUGAGCAAAAACACUAACUGCAAAGAAGUUGUACUCUAUCCUGCAGUUUGGACUCAAGGCUGGUUGAGACAAGCAGAGAAAUGUUGAAAUGAUGUGUGCAGACAAUGCUGAGGUUUUCUUUUAACACAAGCAGACUGCUGGUUUCUGUAAAGUCUCCAGCAGCAAUGAUUUAGUUCACUAUAGAUCCCAUAGGAUCAACUAGCAAACAAAAUAAUCAAAAUAAUGAACUAACUCUCUGAACAUCCCAGGUCUGUGAACAGCACGGAGAAGGCAAUGGAUGCUGUAGCAAAUUCUCUUCCUGGUUACAAAGACCAGAGCCUUCUGGAGCAUAUUUGUGCUGGGCUGCUCCGUUGUUCCAGCAGCAUGAUGCUAAGCAAAAGGAAAACUAUACUAAUUGGUCAGCAGGAAGUUUUCCUUGCACCAAAAAGCCCUCAUGGCGCUCAGGAUUGCCUGUACCUUAACACAGCUUAACGACAGCAGCCUUUAUAGUAGGUAAUACUUGCAUUUACAUUGAUGCGCUGCUGGGAUAAAAGGUCUGGCAGCUUCCCUG
rnacentral:lncRNA from 1 species